rnacentral:rRNA from 1 species
UAGGGAAUCUUCGGCAAUGGACGAAAGUCUGACCGAGCAACGCCGCGUGAGUGAAGAGGGUUUUCGGAUCGUAAAACUCUGUUGUUAGAGAAGAACAAGGACGUUAGUAACUGAACGUCCCCUGGCGGUAUCUAACCAGAAAGCCACGGCUAACUACGUGCCAGCAGCCGCGGUAAUACGUAGGUGGCAAGCGUUGUCCGGAUUUAUUGGGCGUAAAGCGAGCGCAGGCGGUUUCUUAAGUCUGAUGUGAAAGCCCCCGGCUCAACCGGGGAGGGUCAUUGGAAACUGGGAGACUUGAGUGCAGAAGAGGAGAGUGGAAUUCCAUGUGUAGCGGUGAAAUGCGUAGAUAUAUGGAGGAACACCAGUGGCGAAGGCGGCUCUCUGGUCUGUAACUGACGCUGAGGCUCGAAAGCGUGGGGAGCAAACAGG